UUGAAGAUGGUAACCUUGGGUUUGGCUCUUGUCUAUGUUCCUUGGAACAGGACGUCAUAGAGGGUGAGAAUCCCGUCUGAUGAGAUGCCCAUUCCUAUGUAAGGUGCUAUCGAAGAGUCGAGUUGUUUGGGAAUGCAGCUCUAAGUGGGUGGUAAAUUCCAUCUAAAGCUAAAUAUUGGCGAGAGACCGAUAGCGAACAAGUACAGUGAUGGAAAGAUGAAAAGAACUUUGAAAAGAGAGUGAAAAAGUACGUGAAAUUGUUGAAAGGGAAGGGCAUUAGAUCAGACUUGGUGUUUUACGAUUAUCUUCUCUUCUUGAGUUGUGCACUCGUAUUUCACUGGGCCAGCAUCGAUUCGGAUGGUAAGAUAAUGACAGUUGAACGUGGCUUCACUUCGGUGGAGUGUUAUAGCUUCUGUUGAUAUUGCCUGUCUGGAUCGAGGGCUGCGUCUUUUGACUAGGAUGCUGGCGUAAUGAUCUAAUGCCGCCCGUCUUGA
rnacentral:rRNA from 1 species